GGACCCUCAAAGAAUGGGUGCUCUGGUUCCGUCUCAGGACGGGGAGAACAAACCCGGAUCAGAUAAACAACAAGCACAACACUAUCCUUACCAAGGUAUGCCGCCGCCGCCACCUGGACAAUAUCCUCAUCAACAUUAUCCGCCAUAUGGGUACAUGCAACCAAUGCCACCUUAUCAACAGUAUCCACCAUACCAUUCAGCAAUGCCUCCACCUCGAGGCCCACCUCAACAUUAUCAACACCCUGGACCUCCAAGACCUUCACCACCUGUGAGUGCACCAGCUUCAACAAGCGCGCAACCACCACCAGCAUCUACUUCAUCAGGCUCUGCCCCACCACCACCACCACCGGCGCCCGUCCCAUCUGCUGCUGCAUCUGGAUCUUCUCAGCUAUGAAGGUUUUCCCGUACUGUUUGUUUUUGAUAAUGUAAGCAUAAAACUUUUUAACCCCCG
rnacentral:lncRNA from 1 species